CGUGUGUGCAAUACAUCCAUGCCUAGUGUCCAGGAGGUUUAAGAGGGUGUGAGAUUCCAUGAUGCUGAAAUUACAGCCACUUGUGAACUGUCACUUGGGAGCUAGGGUUCGGUCCUGAAUUCUCUUGAAGAACACAUAAUGUUAUUAAUCACCAAAUCAUUUCUUCAUCUUAAGCAAAUGCCACUUCUUUGUAAAUAUAGUUCCUAAGCUGUCCUGUCUUCACCAUAGACCACUGUUUUCUCAAAUGUGAUAAUUUAUUAAACACACACCCACCUGCUUCUUACCUUCAUAUAUAUUCACACAAACACACAUACAAACAGAAACACACACACUCACACACAGAGACACACGCACAACUGCUCUUACCUUCAAGUUUACUUACAUACUUACUUACACACACACACACACACACACACACACACACACCUGCUUCUUACCUUCAAGUAGACUUAGUUAUUUUCACAUUAAUUUGUUUAUUUAUUCACUUUACAUGCUGCACCCUGCCCCCCUCCAGUUCACCCCUCUCACAAUCCUUUGCCCAUCCCUUUCUCUUUAGAGCAGGAGGGGAACCCUCGGGUAGCUCCUCCCCUUGCAUAUCCAGUCUCUAUGAUCACAUCCUCUGAUACUGAGGCCAGACACAGCAGCCUAGAUGGAUUAGGGUGGGGAGCUAGAAGUGAUUUCCAGAAAGAGGCAGAGAGCUGGGGUAAGAGAUGCCCAUUAAUCAAUGGGUGUUUCCUUAGCUGAGAAUCACAGUCUCAGUGAUAUGGACCUAAAGAAACCAUCUGCUGUCGCCAGAGAGCAACCCAAAUGGAAUGAUAAAGAGACACCAACUUUAGACACAAAAUUCAUUCUGACCACAAGAAAUGAAAGGGCUGUGCAUAGAGAAGAUAGUGAAAAAUGAUCAACCAAUGGUUAGUGCAGAUUGAGACCCACCCCAUGGAUGAGCACCGAUCCCUUACACUAUUAAUAUGACUCUGUUAUGCUUGCAGACAGCAGUCUAGCAUGGCUUCCCUCUGUGAGAUUCCACUAAGCUGCUGACUCAGACAAAAGCAGGCAUCAUCUAGUCAAACCACGGUGGAGCUUGGGGACUCUGAUGGAAGAAGAGAAUGAAAAGGAUUAUGGCCUCUAAGGAUAUAGGCACUCCACAGGCUUUGUCUUCAUGCAGAUUCCCUUAACCCAAUCACCAUCCUUUUCUGAUUUCUUCUUUCAAAGAGUCAAAACAACAGGAGUUAUAAGGCAUGUUCAGUCCCUGAAUAGCUGUUCAUAUGGCCAUGCAUUUGAAAAUCUACAACAUUGAUAGUGCAGACAUCAGGAAAUAUCAUUCAAAAAUGAUCUUCAAAUAUUAAAUAAUCUCCACUUAUCAGCUAUCAACUAUCAGCUUUACAAAACAGGAAGAAUCCAAGAGGAAAAAUAUCCUUGUAAUGUACGUAGAUAAAAUUGAUCAGAUAAGAAGGAAAUCAGAGAGCAACCUUCCUGGAUUCAACACAAGAGAGCCUCAGUUCCUGUAGUGUAUUCGACAGCAGUCUAGCAUGGCUUCCCUCUGUGAGAUUCCACUAAGCUGCUGACUCAGACAGAAGCAGGCAUCAUCUAGUCAAACCACGGUGGAGCUUGGGGACUCUGAUGGAAGAAGAGAAUGAAAAGGAUUAUGGCCUCUAAGGAUAUAGGCACUCCACAGGCUUUGUCUUCAUGCA